rnacentral:rRNA from 1 species
CCUACGGGAGGCAGCAGUGAGGAAUAUUGGUCAAUGGCCGUAAGGCUGAACCAGCCAAGUAGCGUGAGGGAAGACUGCCCUAUGGGUUGUAAACCUCUUUUAUGUGGGGAUAAAGGUGUCCACGUGUGGAUGUUUGCAGGUACCUCAUGAAUAAGGACCGGCUAAUUCCGUGCCAGCAGCCGCGGUAAUACGGAAGAUCCGGGCGUUAUCCGGAUUUAUUGGGUUUAAAGGGAGCGUAGGCUGGUCUUUAAGCGAGCUGUGAAAGUUUGCGGCUCAACCAUAAGAUUGCCGUGGGUACUGGCGACCUUGAGUGCGGGGAAGGCAGGCGGAAUUCGUGGUGUAGCGGUGAAAUGCUUAGAUAUCACGAAGAACCCCGAUUGCGAAGGCAGCCUACCGAAGCGUUACUGACGCUGAAGCUCGAAAGCGCGGGUAUCGAACAGGAUUAGAUACCCGAGUAGUC